rnacentral:rRNA from 1 species
AUUGAACGCUGGCGGCAUGCCUAACACAUGCAAGCCGAACGGGGCAGCAAUGCCUAGUGGCGGACGGGUGAGGAAUACGUAGGAAUCUGCCCUUAAGUGGGGGAUAACCAGGGGAAACCCUGACUAAUACCGCAUGAUCUCUUCGGAGCAAAGAGGGGGACCGCAAGGCCUCUCGCUUCUGGAUGAGCCUACGUCUGAUUAGCUAGUUGGUAGGGUAAAGGCCUACCAAGGCGACGAUCAGUAACUGGUCUGAGAGGAUGAUCAGUCACACCGGAACUGAGACACGGUCCGGACUCCUACGGGAGGCAGCAGUGGGGAAUAUUGGACAAUGGGGGCAACCCUGAUCCAGCGAUGCCGCGUGAGUGAAGAAGGCCUUCGGGUCGUAAAGCUCUUUAGGUUGGGAAGAAGGGUAUUGGCUGAAUAAUCCAGUACUUUGACGGUACCGACAGAAUAAGCACCGGCAAACUCUGUGCCAGCCGCCGCAGUAACAC